rnacentral:rRNA from 1 species
AUGCAGAGAACUUUACCAGAGAUGGAGUUGGUGCCUUCGGGAACUCUGACACAGGUGCUGCAUGGCUGUCGUCAGCUCGUGUCGUGAGAUGUUGGGUUAAGUCCGUAACGAGCGCAACCCUUGUCCUUAGUUACCAGCACGUUAUGGUGGGCACUCUAAGGAGACUGCCGGUGACAAACCGGAGGAAGGUGGGGGAUGACGUCAAGUCAUCAUGGCCCUUACGGCCUAGGCUACACACGUGCUACAAUGGUCGGUACAAAGGGUUGCCAAGCCGCGAGGUGGAGCUAAUCCCAUAAAACCGAUCGUAGUCCGGAUCGCAGUCUGCAACUCGACUGCGUGAAGUCGGAAUCGCUAGUAAUCGUGAAUCAGAAUGUCACGGUGAAUACGUUCCCGGGCCUU